GAGGGCAGUGAGGCACUGGCACAGGCUGCCCAGAGAGGCUGGAGGUGUGCCCCAUCCCUGGAGGAGUUCCAGGCCAGGCUGGAUGAGGCCCCGGACAACCUUAUCCAGUGGGUGCCAUCCCUGCCUGUGCUGGGGGUUUGGCACCGGGUGAUCUUUGAGGCCGCUUCCAACCCCAACCAUUCCAUGACUGUGAUUCCUGAUCCAGAGCAGCCUGCAGCAGCAGCUGAGACAGGCCUCUGAGCAGGCCGUGGUUUAGCCAAGGAGAAGCUGCGUACUGCAAAGUCCUUCUACAGCAAAACAGUAAUGUCAGACAUCUCCUCUGGGCCAUAUUGAAAGACCUGAGCUGACUUGAACUGCUGAAUCCGUAGGGAGGAUUUCAACACAGCUCUAAGUGCUGGGACAUUGGAGCCGUGCAAGAAGGAAGAGGGAGAGAAAUUCAAGCCCUCCCCCCCUUCCCUUUGAGUAUGCAGUCAUGAACGAGAUGAAAGGAUUAAGUGUGUUGGCCUAGCCUGGUGUCUGGGAAGGAUGGAAAGAUCAGCCACUACAAUUUCACCAUUAAGUGUGAACAGUGAACCAUUGGAAACUGCUCUCAGAGUGUGGAUUCCAACCAGAUUUGUGUCGUGCCCUCAACCUGGGCAUUCUUGUACUCGCAUCUCAUGUUGGAUGAAGUUAGAAGUCUCAGUAGCAUUGAGUCUCCCUGCAGGAAGGAUGGAAGAUGGUAAAUGUGACAACAGUCUCCGAGAAGGUCCCCAGGAGUGAAGUGGAGAACUGCAGACCGUCACACUGGAGUCUCUACUGAGCAAAUCAGAAGCUCUGGCCUCAAACCGCUCUGGGUUAUGUGAUGCGAUAGCCAGGUGUGCAAGGAAGACAGUAGCUGAAGCAAUUGCUGAAGCAUUAGUGACUAUCCUGGAAGUUCUUGGAAGUGCAGCACCCACUACAGAUGACAAGAUGAGAGCAGGGAGAGUACAUGCCUCUUUGAUUUGUCUGAGUAGGACUGAACCAGUGAUGCUGUGGCUGAGGGGAGGCAGAGGUUGGCAGCUGAGGGCUGGAGCUGCAGCCGCAUCCUCAAAUUGCAGCAGUGGAGUUUGUUGCUGUGGUUGUGCUGGGGCUGCUGGGGAAAGAGCUGGGUUAGCUGAGUGCUGCAGUGCCUCUCAAGCUGGUGAAAGAGCUACAGUGUCAGGCUCUGCAAUGAAGGCAGAAUCCUUGCCAUGCAGGGUGGAGGACUCCAGGGGGUCACAGCAGAGGGCUGCAUCCACAGGAGACACCUGGAGCAGCUGACUGUGCAGUGCUGACAUCUGAGAAGAUUUCUAACAUGAUGUUACACCAUGCGAUUCGCUGCUGACACCACCUUUCUCACUGCAGAGCAAACCCCUUCAAACCAGAGCAGCCCCAUUCACCAUCUCUGGGUGCAUCUGCAACUUGUAUGGGAUUUUACACUGAUCAUAUCUCAAGGAGGAUUUAGAAGAGUGGUGUUUGCAGGCUGGAGAUCUGCUGGCUUCCUAAAGCUCCCAGGCGCCACCAUUCCCCUGCAUGUGACACGUGCGUUGCCCUCAAAUUCAGUGGAAGGCUCACUCAGGACAGCUCACAGCUGCAUGUGACUGUGCUGUGACAACAACCAGGACGUGUGUGGGGCUCAGAGCUGCCUGCGGGGGCAUCGGGAGUGUGCUUGGCUGAAGGCUGGCCCCUAUCAGUACGCCUCUCAGGACUAGUGUUGGUAAAUGGAAGCCUCGUCUACAUCAGGUUGCUUUUCCUUCAGCUCCUUCUUCCUCCUACCCAGUCCUUCACCUCCAAAACCAAGCAGGACACAGAGCUCGCCAGGGUCUUUUUUGUUAAGAAAAUUUUCCCUUCUCCCUUGACAAAGCCCUUGCAUUGGAUACAGCUAAGUUGGUUUCUAACCCUUUUUUUUAAAUCUGUAAGUGGCAGAAGCAUCAUGUAUUCACAGCCAAGCACCCAUCCUGAAAUGCAUGAGGUUUCCUGAGCAGUUCAGCUUGAUUUUCUGUUUCUGAGAGUGGAAGGGUUGCUCUUUGUGAGGAAAGAGUAAACCUGUGGGAAAAGGGCAAAAAUACACAUCCUGGGCUGUUGAUUUUAGCUGUGCCCCACAGGGCCAAACACAAGCAAGACAGAUGUGUCUGAAGUACAACUUUGAUGGAGUGCAAAACCCUAAACUGAGGAGGGCGAUCCCUACAAACACCUGUUGGCCUGGAUGUCUCAAGGGUAGGUCUUCUCUAGGUGCUGAGGGUCCCCAUGCUUGUGGGUUCAACCCAGAAAUGUUGGAGAGCCCAUGCCACAGCUCUACCACCACUAAGCCAGUGUAACACCAAGUCCUUCCUGUGUCUGCUCAGCCCCUGUGUCUCCUGGCUGCCACAUCCUCAGAAAAUCACUGCACUUUAAUACAUUUAUUUAUGCUUUUUUUUUUUCUUUUUGAAGCAUGAAAGUGAUUUACAACAUUUUAUAUUACAUUUUUUAAUCCUUUAAAAUUAAAACAAAUCUUUUCUCCGCUUUGCCCAGUUUUAAGACAUCUCUUUUAUUCAGCUCUUGCAGUAAAAUAUGGAUGGAAG